rnacentral:rRNA from 1 species
GACGAACGCUGGCGGCGUGCUUAACACAUGCAAGUCGAACGAUGAAGCCGGAGCUUGCUCUGGUGAAUUAGUGGCGGACGGGUGAGUAACACGUGAGUAACCUGCCCUUGACUCUGGGAUAACUGCUAGAAAUGGUAGCUAAUACCGGAUACGACCCUCGGAGGCAUCUCCAGGGGGUGGAAAGAAUUUCGGUCAAGGAUGGACUCGCGGCCUAUCAGCUAGUUGGUGAGGUAACGGCGCACCAAGGCGACGACGGGUAGCCGGCCUGAGAGGGUGACCGGCCACACUGGGACUGAGACACGGCCCAGACUCCUACGGGAGGCAGCAGUGGGGAAUAUUGCACAAUGGGCGCAAGCCUGGUGCAGCAACGCCGCGUGAGGGAUGACGGCCUUCGGGUUGUAAACCUCUUUUAGUAGGGAAGAAGCGAAAGUGACGGUACCUGCAGAAAAAGCACCGGCUAACUACGUGCCAGCCGCCGCCGUAA